rnacentral:rRNA from 1 species
UGGCGGCAGGCCUAACACAUGCAAGUCGAGCGGAUGACGGGAGCUUGCUCCUUGAUUCAGCGGCGGACGGGUGAGUAAUGCCUAGGAAUCUGCCUGGUAGUGGGGGACAACGUUUCGAAAGGAACGCUAAUACCGCAUACGUCCUACGGGAGAAAGCAGGGGACCUUCGGGCCUUGCGCUAUCAGAUGAGCCUAGGUCGGAUUAGCUAGUUGGUGGGGUAAUGGCUCACCAAGGCGACGAUCCGUAACUGGUCUGAGAGGAUGAUCAGUCACACUGGAACUGAGACACGGUCCAGACUCCUACGGGAGGCAGCAGUGGGGAAUAUUGGACAAUGGGCGAAAGCCUGAUCCAGCCAUGCCGCGUGUGUGAAGAAGGUCUUCGGAUUGUAAAGCACUUUAAGUUGGGAGGAAGGGCAGUAAGUUAAUACCUUGCUGUUUUGACGUUACCGACAGAAUAAGCACCGGCUAACUCUGUGCCAGCAGCCGCGGUAAUACAGAGGGUGCAAGCGUUAAUCGGAAUUACUGGGCGUAAAGCGCGCGUAGGUGGUUUGUUAAGUUGGAUGUGAAAGCCCCGGGCUCAACCUGGGAACUGCAUCCAAAACUGGCAAGCUAGAGUACGGUAGAGGGUGGUGGAAUUUCCUGUGUAGCGGUGAAAUGCGUAGAUAUAGGAAGGAACACCAGUGGCGAAGGCGACCACCUGGACUGAUACUGACACUG